AAGAGACGUUGCCCUUCGGGGUAUACCUCCCACCCUUUGUUUAUUAUACCUUUGUUGCUUUGGCGGGCCCGUCCUCGGACCACCGGCUUCUGCUGGUCAGUGCCCGCCAGAGGACCUAAAACACUGUUUGUUAAUAUUGUCUGAGUACUAUAUAAUAGUUA
rnacentral:misc_RNA from 1 species